rnacentral:lncRNA from 1 species
GCCAUCAAGUUGCUGCCAAUCCUUUUACACUCUAGACAGAAUAUUCAGCUCACGGAAAAAUAUUUUCCUUGAGUUUCUUUAUCCACCCAGAAUCUAUGCCAUCCGUUUCCAUAAACCCUUCAUAGGCAGCUCAAUGGGGAUGAUGAGCUUCACCAUGCUCCCAUGUCGCAUGAAAAUAUGCAUAGGCAUAAAUGAUUACUGACAGACGUACCAGAUGCUCUGAGGAUAUUCUCUACUGGUAGACACUGACACCUGCAUUUGGAGCUAAAAUUUGUAUAAAACAUCGGGAUUAAAAUGUUAAUCAAUUUCAAUCAUAUUGAAAACAAAUACUUAUAAGAACAAUGCAUUUGACCAAAUA